rnacentral:rRNA from 1 species
UACAGAGGGGGCAAGCGUUGUUCGGAAUUACUGGGCGUAAAGGGCGCGUAGGCGGCCUUCUAAGUCGAACGUGAAAUCCCCGGGCUCAACCCGGGAACUGCGUCCGAUACUGGAAGGCUUGAAUCCGGGAGAGGGAUGUGGAAUUCCAGGUGUAGCGGUGAAAUGCGCAGAUAUCAGGAGGAACACCAAUGGCGAAGGCAGCUCGCUGGGACGGUACUGACGCUGAGGCGCGAAAGCGUGGGGAGCAAACAGG